UCUAAAAUCCAUGUCAGCCUUAGGGUACUAAGAAAAGCUAGUAAGUGUAGUCUUCUUUCUAAAAUUGGAGUUUCAAACUUUUCUCUAACUUCUCUCUAGAAUCUCUCCUCCAAAACCUCUCCAAAUCAACAAUUUUCCUUCACCAAACUUGUUCUCCUCACUCACCUCUUCACAACCAUAGCAUUCUCAUGGUGUGAAGAAAAUUUUGUGGUCAAUAUCCUCGUGAACAGCCAUGGCUUUGAAGGUUCAAGGAGUUAUGGAGUUGUGUUUUUUAGUUCUCUUGAAGAGCAUCACUUGUGUGCUUGAUUCUCUUGAGUUUUGUGUGUGUUGUUGUUUAAAGGAUCAUCCUUGUUGGUACAAAGUGAAGAUUGGAGCUAAAGGUGUGAGUUUUGAACCAAGAAAUAGUUAAUUGAUGUUUAAAGGUACUCAGAGUAGCGGUGAUGCUUCUAGAGGCAAAGCCCCCGCCUUGGAGUAGUUGAUGAUGCUGCUAAUUAUUUAUAUUAUGACUAGACUGUGUGGUGACAUGUAUAAUCAUUAACAUGUCCAAUUAUCUUAUAUUGAGAUUAUGUUAUGUAUUUACUUUGGCUCAUGACUGUAGUAUUGGAGUCGUGGAUUAUUUACUGAUGCUUUAACGUUUUGAAAUUUAUA